AGGGAAUCUUCCGCAAUGGACGAAAGUCUGACGGAGCAACGCCGCGUGAGUGAUGAAGGUUUUCGGAUCGUAAAGCUCUGUUGUUAGGGAAGAACAAGUGCCGUUCAAAUAGGGCGGCACCUUGACGGUACCUAACCAGAAAGCCACGGCUAACUACGUGCCAGCAGCCGCGGUAAUACGUAGGUGGCAAGCGUUGUCCGGAAUUAUUGGGCGUAAAGGGCUCGCAGGCGGUUUCUUAAGUCUGCUGUGAAAGCCCCCGGCUCAACCGGGGAGGGUCAUUGGAAACUGGGGAACUUGAGUGCAGAAGAGGAGAGUGGAAUUCCACGUGUAGCGGUGAAAUGCGUAGAGAUGUGGAGGAACACCAGUGGCGAAGGCGACUCUCUGGUCUGUAACUGACGCUGAGGAGCGAAAGCGUGGGGAGCGAAC
rnacentral:rRNA from 1 species